UGUGUUGGGGUCGCGCCGCCCAUAUCCCCUCACUUUUCCCCUCCCCAUUCCCCUCGUUCUGUUCGCCGCUCUCUCCCUCUCCUCUCUCGGUGGCGAUUUCCAGCGAUUCUCCACGGCGUGAGGGGUCUCGGCGGUGCGGGUCGACGGAGAAGAGAGCUAGCCUGGGGCAACCGGGCCUCUGCGAUUAAUGCCGAGCCGCUCGGGAGAGGCGCGCACCUCGAGCUUCUAGGAGCGGCGGCGAAGCAUCUGGCCCCGGCGAGCUUCUUAAGGUGAUAUUUUAUGAGUAACGAAUAGACCACAGUGGUCGGCGGAGGCAUUGAGGACGGCGAACGCAUUAAGCACGGCGGGACACAUCUAAUGUUCCGUCGAGUUAUCAAGAUCAGCAAUUAUGUGGGGGCAUGGAUCUCUGUUCCUGUGAUUUCUACCAGUUUUGGAAGGCAAAACGUACCCAGAAGCAACUUUGAUUAGGUUUACUGGGGUCCCCCAGCCCACACACAAACACACAUUGGCUGUUUUGUGGUCAGGUAAGCAAAUACUGGGGGCAUGGAUCUAUGUUCCUGUGGUUUCUACAAAGCCCCAGGCAACUUUGAUCAGCAAAAGUUGUUUUAGCUUCAUGUACUUGUACUGACUAGAGAAGUGCUAUGCUAAAGUACCAACAAAAUCGGGGUGGUUUGAGGACCUUCUGAUUGCUAGCAAUUCCUUAAGCAACUUGGAUUGCUGCGAAGUAGGGAAUCAUGGCGUCCAGAAGGUCCGUUGGGUACAAUGGAGAAGAAGAUCGUGGAGGGGAUAAGAGAAAGAAAAAGCAGGCAUAUGUGCCUCUUUUUGCUUGGAUAAAGGGCAAGGUUUUUUGGCAGGCUCGCGAAUUGCAAACAGUUAAUCCAUUAACCAGGUUCACUAGCCAAAUUUAUGUUAGUUCAACUGAAAGCAAAACUUGGAACCUGUUUGUCAAUUCUUAUGAUUUGUUCUGCAAAAUAGACAACUAAUAGUCUCCGGCAUGUAUGCUUGAAUUACACCACACCUUUCAAACUUAUCUUUCUUUGCUCUUUUUUGUGUGUAGGUUACAAAUGAUAUAUUCACAAAUGAAGAUGGAAAAUUAUUGGUCAAGCAUGGAGAUCUUCCUGAAGAGUGUAUACGUGCAGCAGAAAUUGGAGGUUGUCCUCGUGCUUUAGCAUGGAUCUGUAGGAGCUAUCUAACAUGUACAAAGCUGAUUUGCUAUUCUAUGAAUCUGGAGGAGGCAUUGUCCUUGUUGAAUCCCACAUAGAAGGUUUAUUAAACCACCCUACCGUAGUAUUGUCUUAUCCGUGCUGAUUCAAUUUGGAAGAUAAGGGUUACCAGAGCAACCUGUACUAAGCUGAUUUAGAAGCGUAGAAAAUGUUCCGUGAGCUUUGCGUAA